rnacentral:rRNA from 1 species
GACGUAGGGCGCGAGCGUUGUCCGGAUUUAUUGGGCGUAAAGAGCUCGUAGGCGGCUUGUCGCGUCGUCCGUGAAAACCCACAGCUCAACUGUGGGCUUGCGGUCGAUACGGGCAGGCUAGAGUUUGGUAGGGGAGACUGGAAUUCCUGGUGUAGCGGUGAAAUGCGCAGAUAUCAGGAGGAACACCGGUGGCGAAGGCGGGUCUCUGGGCCGAUACUGACGCUGAGGAGCGAAAGCGUGGGGAGCGAACAGG